rnacentral:rRNA from 1 species
UACGUAGGGGGCAAGCGUUGUCCGGAUUUAUUGGGCGUAAAGAGCUCGUAGGUGGUUCGGUAAGUCGGAUGUGAAAUCUCCAGGCUCAACCUGGAGGGGUCAUUCGAUACUGCCGUGACUAGAGUUCGGUAGGGGAGUGUGGAAUUCCUGGUGGAGCGGUGAAAUGCGCAGAUAUCAGGAAGAACACCCGUGGCUAAGGCGGCUCUCUAGUACGUGACUGACGCUGAGACGCGAAAGCGUGGGGAGCGAACAGG